rnacentral:lncRNA from 1 species
UUGAAGAACGUCACCGUUGAGCUCAAGAAGUAGCGAAACGAAAUGUAUCAGGUUUGACUACUACUUAUUAUAAAUCAGUUUCUGGCUAAUAUUGUAUUUCCAUUUUAAACUAUUGUAUAUAACUCUUAAAAUACAUUUCGUAUAGUAUAUAAUUCCUGGAGUUUCUCAUCUUUUUUUUUGUAUCCUUUAUGAUAUCUAAUAAAACACAUUUCAUUGCUUAUGCUUGUGCAAGCUAAAUUCCACUAUGACAGAGGAUAUGUUUCCUUCUGUCUUCACUAACUUAAUUACGAGGAAAUUCGUAGAAGUCAAAGAGUAAGCACAUGAGAUUUUGAUUUUCUUUUUUUAGUGGGGAUCCCAGAUUCUAGGUAAUUUAGAAUGAUCUUAACAUACGGAAAGAAGUACUUUAUUGUCCCUUUAUGAUGAGAAGGGUUUCCUCAAUCGUUAAUUGUAGCAAGUCUUUUGAAUUCAUUUUAAAUAUAUAGUAAAAAUUGUUUCAGGUGCAAUCUUUUUAUGAUUUUUGAUAAGAUUGAUAUUGACCUAAUAUAUAGAUGAACUGUACCUUGUAAAAAAAAUCCACACAAGGUCUUGUCUUGUUGGCCUUUUAAUACCUGCUUUAGUUUUAACUGUCUUUGUAAAGUCGAGCAAUGUUUUUUUGAUGGUGUCAUUUUUUCCCUUUCUUCUUUCUGUUUCCAGGAAGUACUUUUCAAAAAUAAAACCAACUUAGAGAACACCAAGGUGUUUUCAGCUGUUUAUCAGACAAGACCAAGAAACUAUGCUUAAAUUUACCAACAGAACGUACUCAAGUGCAGUCUAGUGUAAGAUUUUAAUUAACUUGGUAAAGAUUUAAUUUUUUUCUGUAUUUUUAAAUAUCCAUUAAUAAAAUUUGAUUCUUUUUUCCCCACAAAAACUGUAACCAAACACAUUCACGUUUAGAAAGUUUAGAUAACUAGAGUUGUAUAUUGAGCUCAAAAAUAGAAUAUGCAUUUGUUUCAUUUACUGUGGAUAUUAUUAUCUUGAUCCAAACUGAUAUUUGCUUUAAUGGUUUUAUAAUUUAUGUUUGUACAUAUAUUUUAGAAUUAGUUUGUUCCAGAACUAUAUUAGAUGAAAUGUGCAAUCAAUGUUUUCAAGAUUCAGUUAAUAUAUAACAGGUCAACAUUGGGAAUUUCGGAAUAGGCUGGCCAGUACUAGGCAUCUUAAAAUUAACUACCAUAUGGUUUUGGCUUCGUUAUGGGUUCUGUUAUAGGGAACCGUAUUGCCCCUAAUUAGAUGGAGCUAUCAGCAGAUUGUAGCAGUGGUAUUCAGCAUUAGGGCUUGGGACGUGGUUUGGCCUAUUCAUGACAUUAAGGUCAUUUUGGUUUGGGACAAUAGAAUGUGGUGGUAAUAUAAUAGAUUUUUUAAACUGAAUAAAGGCAGUGAUAAAAUUGAAUUGAGCAUGAUGCCAUGAGCUCUUUAGUGUUUGGUUAGUUACUUGGGAAGUGUGCCAGAAUGGACUAGAAGUGCUCAAAAGUAUCUAAUUAGUAUGAAUCAUUACCAUGAGGUUGGUAGUGGACCAUCACUCCCCCCAUUAAGGAAUGAUAAAGGUUUUUGAGGCACUGCUAGCAAUGGCUCAUUAACUCCACUUUUGGCUAACCUAACUAGGUUACGUUUGGAAUGGGAACGAGGUAUUCUAUUCCUCUGCUCACACCCCGAACCAAAUGCCUUCACGCCGACAACAAGAGAGCAACAUUAAUUUUUUAUUUGUGACAAGUCGAUAGUACUUUUGUUGAGUCUAAGAUAUUGUAAAAAUAAAAAAUAUUAAGAAAAAGUCUAAUGGGGGUGGGGUGGGUUCUUCUGAACAGUGUGGGGGUAGGAACAGGGGGGUUAACUUCAGGGAGGUGAGGUUAAGGAAGGACAGUCUUUGAAAGAUGUUGCUGCUUGUGCUUAAGAAGCCUGACAUCUGAAGAGUGUGUGAUGUGAUUCUUGCCAAAUUGCAGAAUUAACAAGAAAGUUAAUAAUUGCAGAAAUUACUUAAUUUUUAGAAUUGACUCAUGUCAGCUACUAUUACAUGUGUAACUGCAUACGGGAACUAACAAUCAGUGUUACGUACAUAUUUGUUAUGAUAUUUUGUACUUCUUAACAGUAUUAUUGGUAAAUAUUUAAUUAGUUGGUUUGUUUAUAUAUUAAUCACUCUAGUGUAGACAGGUGGAGCUGUGUUUUUGGAUCCAUCGUUGGAGGCUCUAGUGUUGAAGAACGUCACCGUUGUGCUCAAGAAGUAGCAAAAUGAAAUGUAUCAGGUUUGACUAAUCAUUAUGAUGUUUCAGUUUCUGGUUAGCAUUGUGUUUCCAUUUAUAUUAUGAUUUUUCGUACUGAUAUGAGAAUCCUUUUAAAUCUGAAAACAUCGACAUCUUCUUUGUUCUUCUGUAUAUAGUCAAUCUUAAUACUGGGAGAAAUGGAAUAAUAGACUUGGAAAGGUCUUAAAUUUAACAUUCAACUCAUCAUAAGUUGAAUAGAUAAAUUACGUUCAAAUGCCAUUAAAUGGGAAAAAUCCAAAUUAAAGAGCCAUCUCCCCUAAGAAUAUGAAGCCUUAAACUUUGAAACUGCAUCAAUCAAACCUACACUUCCUGAAUUUGAGUCUUUGAGCCAAUGUUAAACUUAAGUAUAUAUUACACAAAUGAUUUCCUAAAUUUAUCCAUUGGAGCGGAGUUUUCGAUAUGGUUGCUGUUGUUGAAGACGAGAGUCCUUGGGCUGUUUGUAAUUUUUAGAACAGCAAGCUGAGAACUAUUACCUUUAAUGAUUUUGCCAAAAAAAAGUUUUUGGUUAAGUAAUUAAAGAUUUUGCAAUUACCUUCUUUGAAUCUUAAUACAUUAGCCGUAGUUUUACCUUGUUUUAUUGAUUCUCUUGGGUAAAGUCCAUUUAAUUUAAAAUUAAUUUUUAUUCUCUUAUGCGCUCUCCAAUAAAUAUAAAAUUUUUAUGCAGGUUAUUGAAUUGUUGGGUUUGGGCUUGGCAAGAGCAUGGAUGAGCACUCUGCAGUCUGCUCUCAUGGAUGCAGUAGUGGUACACUUAUUUUUUAGAAUUUGAAGCUCCAUACUGUCAAGAAAUUGAAUUGUUUCGAAAUAAAUGGCACAAUUUAUGUAUAGAAAAGAAGCAUAUGCAACUUUCUGAAAUAUCUCAUAGAAGUAACUACAAUUAAUGCCUUUCCUGUACCAGCUGAUGUUAUGCUUUAGAUCCGUUCUGUUUAUAGUUAUAUUAUAUUCCUAGAAGUUUAAUUUUUGAACGGUGGCUUGAGGCGCCUUGUUUUGGUUUACAAUUGUAUCUACUGGAGUAUGAUCCAGUAUGAUAUACUGGAAUAUUU